UUUCUUAAUAAUAAAGGCAAUAAAAACAAUUAAGAAGAAGAAAUGAUUCCGUAUGAAAAUACUUGACAACUUCGCUCUGCGAUAAAUACGCGCAAGCAUUACCCGACAAAUCAUUGACAAAUCCCAUAAUCCGGAUAAUUAAAGGAUAUUAACUAAACAUAAGGAGUUGCUUGUAAAGACGAUUGCAGAACCUCAGGUAGAUUCAAAGAAUGUAGAACCUUUGCCAUUUGAUGAAGAUUGAUAUUGUCAUAGGCUCCCUGCACAUCAAGGAACACACACUUCUCCUGACAUAGACAACAAAUAGUUCUUCAUAUCUAUCAGGUGGGUAGUAUACACAGAGGAUUGAAAGAGGACCGUUUGCUGUGGACAUAGAAACUGCUAUGGAUUGAAUAUCUUGAUAAAAACUAGUCUUCAGAUGUUUAUACUUAAUGGAGUUACGGAUUAAAAUACCACCGUGUCUGUCCCGAUUCUUGUAAAAAAACUGGAAUACAUAGGUAUAAGAGGUAUACCUCUAGCUCUUUUUAAAGAUUAUUUAUCUGAUAGGCAACAGUGUGUCAAAGUAGAUAAUAAGGUGAGUCAGUAUUGUAACGUAUCUUUUGGAGUGCCCCAAGGAAGCGUACUUGGGCAUACACUGUUUCUCAUCUAUAUUAACGAUUUACUAAUGUCUCAACUUAAAAAUGCAAACUUUUUCUCAUAUGCGGAUGAUACCGCUAUAGUUUUUACGGGUAAGACUUGGAAAUCUAUAGUUAGCGACACUCAAGCAGGACUCUCUCAAGUUAAUCUUUGGUUAAGCCACAAUCUACUGACCCUAAACACGCAAAAGACGAAGUAUUUAUGCCAUACUAUAAAUAAAUCCACUCAACCUCCUCCAGACCUAAAAAUAUACAUACAUAAAUAUAGCUGUCAAUCCCUGGAAGAUUGCUCUUGUCCCACAAUUGAAAAAGUUUUCUCUAUAAAAUAUCUUGGUAUACACUUAGAUCAGCACUUAACGUGGUAUGUACAUCUUGAGGCAAUAGGUAAUAGAGUAAGGAAACAUAUCUGGAUCUUUAAAAACCUACGGCACGUGGCAUCCAAGCUUCUGCUAAAUUCAAUUUACUUGGCUCUUGCGCAAUCAAUCAUAAUUUAUUGUAUUACGGUAUGGGGCAGUGCCGCAAAAACCAAGUUUUUGGAUGUAGAAAGAUCACAGAGGGCUCUUCUAAAAGUUGCCUACUUUAAACCUAGAUUGUACUCCACUGAGAAAUUGUAUAAAGAUUGUGACCUGUUGUCGAUUAGAAAACUAUAUGUUCUUCAUGCAACACUCAGAAAACAUAGAUCCAUUAUUCCUGAUCCCAUCUUUUGAAAAGAAGAAAAAAUGCAGUUGUCAUGUUGACCAGUUUUUCGAGCAGUUUUGCUGGGCGUCAAUAUAAAAUACAAACAGAACAUCUGUAUAAAGUGGUAAAUGAAAGGCUUGGUAU